UACGUAGGGUGCAAGCGUUGUCCGGAAUUAUUGGGCGUAAAGAGCUCGUAGGCGGUUUGUCGCGUCGACUGUGAAAACCCGAGGCUUAACCUCGGGCCUGCAGUCGAUACGGGCAGACUAGAGUUCGGUAGGGGAGACUGGAAUUCCUGGUGUAGCGGUGAAAUACGUAGAUAUCAGGAGGAAUACCGGUGGCGAAGGCGGCUAUCUGGCCAUGUACUGACGCUGAGACACGAAAGCGUGGGGAGCAAACAGG
rnacentral:rRNA from 1 species